rnacentral:rRNA from 1 species
AGUCGAACGGAAAGGCCCUGCUUGCAGGGUACUCGAGUGGCGAACGGGUGAGUAACACGUGGGUGAUCUGCCCUGCACUUCGGGAUAAGCUUGGGAAACUGGGUCUAAUACCGGAUAGGAACCAUCUUUAGUGUGGUGGUUGGAAAGUUUUUUCGGUGUAGGAUGAGCUCGCGGCCUAUCAGCUUGUUGGUGGGGUAAUGGCCUACCAAGGCGGCGACGGGUAGCCGGCCUGAGAGGGUGUACGGCCACAUUGGGACUGAGAUACGGCCCAGACUCCUACGGGAGGCAGCAGUGGGGAAUAUUGCACAAUGGGCGCAAGCCUGAUGCAGCGACGCCGCGUGGGGGAUGAAGGCCUUCGGGUUGUAAACUCCUUUCGCUAGGGACGAAGCUUUUUGUGACGGUACCUAGAUAAGAAGCACCGGCUAACUACGUGCCAGCAGCCGCGGUAAUACGUAGGGUGCGAGCGUUGUCCGGAAUUACUGGGCGUAAAGGGCUCGUAGGUGGUUUGUCGCGUCGUCUGUGAAAUUCUGGGGCUUAACUCCGGGCGUGCAGGCGAUACGGGCAUAACUUGAGUGCUGUAGGGGUAACUGGAAUUCCUGGUGUAGCGGUGAAAUGCGCAGAUAUCAGGAGGAACACCGAUGGCGAAGGCAGGUUACUGGGCAGUUACUGACGCUGAGGAGCGAAAGCAUGGGUAGCGAACAGGAUUA